CGGGGGCUGCGGGGAAAUCUGCGCAGGGAGGCUUCAAAGCCGCGGGGAGCCGGAGGGACGGGGGAAGGAGUGAGCUGGCUGCGUGCUGGGCUCGCACGGCACUGCCCCUGCAGCCGCUCGCAGCCCGGGACUGCUGGACCUGCGUGCAGAGCCGCUGUUAGCAGGUAGGUCAGCUUCCAGUUUUAGCCACGCUGCUGUAUUAUAAUUAUCCUUCCUGUAGGGCUGUGGAAAUAAGGCUGUCCAGACUGCCUGGUGUGAUCAUUGCGAGGCUAAAGUCAUUGUCAAGGUUAAACCGGGGCACUCGUGGAAGGAAGCUGCUCUGCAACCGCAGCAGCCUUUAUUGCUUCACAUAUAUAGAGAGCAUACACCUGUAAGCUGUUCUCUUAUCCAUUACAGCAUAAGGAUUAAGGUGCUUUUCCAACCUUAGGGGUACUGUUGUAAGCUGGUUACUGUGUCAAAUGAACUGGCUGCCACACUGGAGCAACUAUAUACAGGUCAUGCUUCCUGACCUUUCAGUAUUGUGGUUACUAUUCCCAAUGAGCUGGUCACCAUGCCAUCGCAGCUACACUUAUGUCAUGCUUCCUGACAUAACAGGCUGUACCUCGCAUUUACAAGCUUGUCAGAACCUUAUCAUAAGAAAAAUAGCAAAUUUCACUGAAGGUUCUAUCAUAGUUUCCAUGCGGACGUCUUUCUGGCAACUGUACUUCCAUCUAAAAAGACUUCAUCAGUAAAGGGCUGUUGCUUGUUUCGUAACUUUGCCCUCUUCUGGGAGGGACAGGCUGUUCCAAUAAAUGCCGUGAUGAUGAAAACAGCCCAUCAUUUUCCAGUCCUCAAAACAGGUAGUGAUAGUGAAAAAUCACAUGUUAUUCAAACCCAAUGCAGUUGCUCUAGCCUUUUUAGACUCUCAUGCAACAAAAUAAUUAGAUAUAAACAGUCACUUCAAGACUGGUGUUGAGCACAAAUUUAAACUUUUGUGCAUACUUACGCACACUUCUGAGUCAAGUCCUUAUUUUCCAGACCAGCUGGCAAAACAUUCAUCCUGUGCUGACUGAAGUUUUCAAGUGAAGUAUACGUUGUCUGUACAGAAAUAAUUUGAAAGCUCUAAAUAUAAACCACCAUGAACCCUGUAGCAUUGCUUUCAGAUCUGUUGCAGGCAGUGACAAUUUAGAGUAUUCAGAGAGAACUUGGAAAAGUUCCUAAAUAUUGUAGGUGAUAUUGGCCUGAGUAAAACAAGGGCAUAUUUGGCUCAAACAUCAUAUUAGGAAGUCAGAAUGGUGAAAAACUGGAGUUGGAAAUGUAGGUUCUUUUUAUUACCAGCUGCUGCAUUUUACAAUGUGUUAGUAGUGUCAUUCCAAUGUUGAGGUAAGAAAGGGGUUAGCUUACCUGCUUGGUGUUCUGGGUCAUGCAGUGGAAAACAAUAAAAGCGAUGUUGUUCAAAGUAGGCAUAGGUAGACUUCCUUUGCCUGCAUUUACCUGAAUUGCAUGUACCACUGCUACUACUGUUAUUUGGGUAUAGAUGGUUUCAGGUAAGUGCCUGGAUGACGCUUUUUAUUUUUUCCCCUCUUAUUUUUGUUGUUUAAAAACAACAACAACAAAUCUUUCUGGGAAGCAGGGACUUGCUCAUAUUCCCCUCUUCCUGUAUGUGUGCCUGCCACCCACAGAUGUCUGUGCAGGUUGGGAGCACGCCCUCUGUGUUACCGGCUUCUGCCCAUGGGGUGAAAAUUCCCUGCUACAGAAGAUCUGCAGGGUUCCCUUGCAGAAAUGGUUGUGCCACACAGAGCCAACCUAUGGAUUCUGGUUGCAGAAGCCUCUCGAUGCUACAUGGUGGUGCUCAGCUAUUGUUACUGGAGCGUAUGAUGGUUGGGGGAGGAUGUGGGUAGUUGAGGAAGUGGUAUAGAAUCACAUCCACUUUUAGCAGUUUGUGCUGCAGCACGCAUAAUUUUAGCUCAGCUGUAGGUUUUCACACGGUGCUGGUCACUCUUCUGGCGCUGUGUGCAGAGAGGAUCCCCUGGCUGGUGGGACAGGCCUGCAGCAUUUACUAACCCAUCGUGCUUCUCUGAAGGCAACAGAGUGAAAAUAUCUUGAGCAGCCAUGAGAGAUGAUCCUUCUAUACAGUUCUGAAAUCUCCAAGCAUACCUUUGUUUUGCUCAUUUUCUGAGCUCUUUCAUCCCUCAAAGCUGUUCGUGGCCCCUCCAGGUGCACCUGCUGCCUUUGUAGGACUGAACAGCUUGCUGGCCACACAUGAGCAAUGUAAUUCUUCCUUUGGUUUGAAGUUUUCAAUUUUAACCUGCCAGUGUUUCUCAGGCAUUGCAUUUUGGUCUGGUUCACUCAUUUCACUGAAAUAAUUUUUCCAUUUGUUUAAAACAGCUGAAGUGUCAGGGGGAGGAGGUGGAAUGUAACAAAAUAGAUGACUUUUCUUGUUAACAGCCUUAGACUUUCCUUUGACAGGGCUGGAAAACUCAUUUUAAUGACACUUUCUAAUUAAAGAUCCUUUAGAGGUGUUUUUUUUUUUUGUUGUUUUGUUUUUUUUUUGUUUUGUUUUACAGCUUCAGAAUUCAUGUUUAGAAAAAUUCAGGUAAACUCUGGGCCGAGACCUUGAAAGCAUGAUCGUUUCUUUUAAAGAUUUACUGAAGCAUUUCAUGGAGCAUUAAGAGUAAAAUUACUGUGGAAGUCUGGGAUCACUUUUUCCUUUUACUUUUUUUCAAAAAGGUUAGCUCAGUUUUUAAAGAUCAGUGUUUUAGGCAUGUGCCAAACACAAAACAGAGUUCUGAAAUUUUCUUCGUUUGCUUUCUGCACUUCACUGGGAGGGUGGAUAGAGCUUGUGUAAUACCCUGUGAAUUUAAACAGCUUUUUGUGCCAAGUUCAGACAGCGUGACUCUUGGUAUGCGCUCCCAGAAGCCAUUCUCAGUUUUAAAGCUGGGUACAGACCAGUACAGAUGCCGUGAGGACCAAUACAGGAUGUGUGGUUGAACUCCUGUAGAUGUGGUUGCCUUUUAUUUUGGAUGGUUAGUGAGCUCCUUAUCAGCUUCAAGGUUAGACCAAAUUUUUGGGAUAAAAUGUUGUAAGCAUCUGCAGAUGGAAGUCUGUGAGGCAGGCUUUUAGCAUGCUUCCGUGCUAGAGAUGGGUGGUGUGGCAUGGGAACAGGUUGCCCAGAGAAGCUGUGGGUGCCCCAUCCCUGGGGGUGUUUGAGGCCAGGCUGGAUGGGGCUUUGAGCAACCUGAUUUAGUGGUAAGAGUCCCUGCCCAUGGCAGGGGGGUUGGAAGUGGGUGGUCUGUAAGGUUCCUUCCAACCCAAACCAUUCAGUGAUUCUGUGGCAUUCCUGGGAGUCUCUGUACCAUUCUCAGUUAGGCUUUUUGCCAAGCAGUGUAAGUUAGGUGUGAUAAAUCAGAAGUUUUUUCUUUCCCUGUCGUCAUCACCAGCUAGAGCCCAUCUGGAACACUGUGCCUGGGUUUGGCCCCUCCAGUACAGGAAAGAUCAAUUAAACCGGAGUGGGUUCAGUAGAGGUCCAUGAAAGUGGUUGGGGUUGGAGCUUUUCUUCUGUGAUGAGAGGCCAAGGGAGGUGGAUGGGCUCAGCUUGGGGAGAUGCCUUGAAUGGGGAUUAGAUCACACCCAUAACACUAGCCAUCCCACACUUCCAGGGAUGUCAUCAAGAAGAUGAACCUAGGCUACAUGGGCAUGAGGCAAUGGUCAUAAAUUGAGCAAGAGAGGUUCCUACUGGGUGUAAGGGGGAACCAUCCUAGUGAGGAUAACUAGGUGUUUGAACAGGCUGCCCAGAGGUCCUGUGUAGCCUCUAUCUUUGGAGGUUUUCAGGACUCAGCUGUGUGAAUCCCUGACCCUUCAAAGUCUGUGUGCAUACUUUCAGCUCCUGCUGUGGGUGUGGUGACUGGAUGAACUCUUCUCUGCCUUCUGCAGUUGCUGUGAUGGGGCCUUUGUUCUGGGGGGAGACAGCACAGAAAGCUCUUCCACACCCAUGGAUUUUCCCUGUGUGUUUAUUGCUCAGGCAUGAAUGUAACUGAUGAGAGGAGAGGAAAUUCAAUGCCAUGAAAGUGCUUGAGCCCUAACUUUGUGAUUAUUGUCUUAAGAAACUUUAGUACAGGUAUUGUGUCGGUUCCAGUUCCUUGGCAGUGGAUCCAGCUGAUUCGAGGGUACUGUACUUUGUGCCUGAGUUUGGGAGGCAUGGGCUCCACAUGAAGUGUUUUCUCUAAUCUUUUUUGUCUCUCAGCAAACUAUUCAAUGUCAGCCUUUUUGUACUGUCUUGCAUUAUGCCUUUUUUUCUUCUCCUUUUUGAGUAAGGAAAAGUGGCACUUACUGAAAUUACUUGCUCCUCUGAGAGUGUUGGACUAGGCUCAAAUGGGGCCCAAGAAACUCCCCGCAGCUUAACGGUAAUAUUAAAGUGAUUGCUCGCCAAGUGAUUAUUAUUAUUAUUUAUGGUGCCAAAUGUCCUUUGGCGAUAUAAAAAGUAAAAAUGACAGUGACAGGGUGGCCAUAGUAUAUGUAGCCUUUGAAGUGCUAUUUGCUUAGAAAAUAUUAAGGUAGAUCUUGGCCAGUCUCCAGUAUGAUAAUAUUUAGUAGGAAACUCCAUUUUGGUGUUUGGAAACAGGAUCUCUUACAGUAAAUGUCUUUCCUGUGUUCUAUCAGAAGAACAACCAUUAGAGUUGGAGAGUUGUAUAUGUUUUGAAUUCUGAAGAUGCAGUAAAAAAUGAUGUUUGUUGGAAGUUUUCUUACUGCAUUUGCUGUUGAUAUUGUGUAAAUGCAUCUGACUAAAAGUACAUAUACUUGUUACCCAUUGAUGUAUAAACAAUACAUUAAUUGUUGCUUGAUUUAAUCCAUUUAAACAAAAUGUCAGUUUUUGGCCAAACUUAAGAUCAUAAUCUUUUUAAUGGAGUUCUUCAGUCAUUUCAUUUUUUAAGGAAGGCUUUGCAAAUAGUUCUCAUUAUGCAUGUGGAGUAGUAAACCCAUAAUUUCCUUACUUUUCUUCAUGUGGCUACAUCUAUGCUGGGUAUUGAAGGGAGAAAUCAUCUCACUCUCAUGCUGUAAAAAGCUAAGAAACCUUCAGCCACUCCAACUGUGAAGACUUUUUUUUUUUUCCCCCAGGGAUAACUUGUAUUCAUGCUUAACUUGUGCUUUGCUUCAGUGCUCACCAGCAUAUCCUACCCCAGAUGACAGAAGCUGAUACUAAAUAAAAACAUGAUCCAAAGAAGCACUUGCAGGAAUUAAGGUUUAGUCUGUUUUUAAACAACAAACAAAACCCUCCAAACCAAAAGUUUACAUAGAAAUCUUCACCGGGGAGAACAGGGACUGCCUGUGUAGUAAUUGUACUUGGGACUCGUUAGAACUUUACUGCAGGCUAGGCUGAUCCUUGCAGUGUCUCAGAGUUGCUUUCUGACCUGAGAGAAAGUCACUUUGUGUCUGGCUAGGCAACAGCCAGGUGUGACUGCAGCUUUUGUAGCAUACUUGAGCUCACUUUGAGCUGGGAAGGUUAGGCAGUGCUGCCAGCAUGGACAGAACAGGGUGGCAUUUAGGACAGGCCAUGAGAUACCCUUAUGUAUCUGAGCUGGAGGCUGAAAACCAUCCUGCAGGCUUCAGUCUCACCUCUGAGUGUAGUGUGUGAGUGGUUUUGGUUUCAUUGGCUACAGCCACAGUGCCAAGCUGGGGAUCGAUCUAAGUACAUCCAGCUGUGGGACGUGCACGCUUCUGUCAACAUCCCUGGCUGUUUUCAUGGCUGAAAACACCCACAUUGUGCCUGGGAAUUUUAGUUUAGACUAUCUGCUGAUGGAUUAGACUGUAGUGUGCUAGGAUCAGCCAUUUGGUCUGCUCAGACCACACAAAUGAGUGACUGGGGCUGUGAUUAGUGCCAUGUGUGCUCAGAGGUCCUGCUUGAGCAUUUCUUUAAUUUUGCAGUAAUUGUCAGGGACCAGACAAGGGCAGGUUGUGCUGGAGGAGAAAGUAAGCCUGUAGGUAGGACAACAAGGCCAACGCAGGCAGUGGCCUUGCUGGUGAGGUACAUGGUGAGCAAAGCAGGUUUGGGAACACAAACCAUGUUUGGCUACUAGUCUAGACUGCCAGAUGGGUCUGUAGUGAUGAAGCAGGUCCAAGGUCAGGGAAUAAAGUCAAGUGUGUGAGUUAGGGGUCAGGGUCUGGAUCAAUGAGGUGUUUAGCCAAGGUGGACAAGGCUGCAGGGUGGCCAUAACCCAGCUCAGACAGGGGAUAAGGACAAAGACUGCCUAAAUGCAGCUCCCAAAAGAGGUUUGGGAGAGACCCUGCUGAGGCUUCUGCUGGCUUUUUGUCAAAUAGCUGUCUUUAGGGCUGGUUGGGAUUUCCCAAAGAGUGCUCUCAGCAGCUGCACCAAUGUCAGAGCUGGACCCCAGCACAGGCAGCCAACUCCCGGGAGCAGGGAGAAGGUUCUUGGUCCUGGUACCACCUCCUCUUAGAUGCUAACGCAAUAAGAGACCAAUUAAGAGUUUAAAGUUUAACCUUCUGUAGCUGUGGUUAUUAACUUGAAAUCAGAACAAAUGUCUGUUACUGCGUUAAAGCUCUUAGAUUUUAGGUGAGGUCAAAGAUAGAAAAUUAUGCAAGGCUUCCUUCCAGCUUCAGCUCUUCAACACUUUCCCUUGGUGUUCUUUCACUAAUAUCAAUAGAAUUACACAAUGGCUGAAUUGUUCUGUUUCGACUUACUGUGGAAGGUACAUUUUUAUUGAUUUCAGCUGAAAGGAGGAAUGGAGCACAUUAAAGGUUCUGAAAAUGUGGAAGGCUUGCAGAGUUUCCUGCUAUGGAGCCAUUAGUAUAAAAAUUAAUAUACUGGUAAACAUCACUGUGACCAUACUCAGUGGGAACUGGCUAAAUACUUGUGUUAAAGAAUGCUUUAAUUGAAGUUGUUGUUGUGGUGCAUUACAGUAGUGUUCCAGUUGAAUGAAACAUUAGUACAUGCUAUUUUCAGAGAAGCUAUUUUACAAUGAUCAGUGUUGGAAUUUUGAAAAUAACACAGGAAAUAUAUCAACACAAAGGUGUUUUUUUUUUUUUUUUUAAAAAAAAAAAAAGAUUUCUGCACUAAAAACAAAACAACCAAACUUUUGUUUCCUGCACAGAUGUUGCACAGGUCAAUUACGUAAGAAGUUUCCAUAAGGGUUCUUAUAAGGCAGGAGUGGAUCUUGUUGUAAAUGCAGUGUGGUGGAGGGCACAUUCCAAAAAGUAGAGUAAGGGCUUUUGACUAUUGGCUAUUGCUUAGCUCUUCAGCACUGAGUGAGUAAGAGCUAAGAAGAAAGGAGAAUUAAUGAGAGAAGACAUAAUAUUUCUAGUACUGGAAAAAACUCGGAUGUACGAUUUUGCAGUUCUCUUGUGCAAAAGUUUAUAGGCAAAUUGAUCUAAAUAGAUGCUUUUUAAUAUGCAGUAGUAUUUGGGCACAAAUUUGAGACAUUAAUUUUUUAUUAUUCUUAGAAUCAUAAAAUGUAUAACUUUGAUUUUGUGUUAGCAGCUAUAGCAAUAAUCAAAUUGUAUUGUUUAUGGUGCUCUUUCUGUUUGACAGGAUAAAAUGGUCCAGUUCUUAAGUGCUCUUUGGUCGAAAUACAAAGUUUCAGUGUUGUGAAGAAACAAACAUUUGACUUUUUUUUUUUUUUUUUUUUGAAGGACUACAUUCAAAGGAUGUAGAGGUAAAUAAUGGCCUCUGUCAGCCUUUCACUUUGGAAAAUGUCGAAAGGAACCAGGGCUAAAGAUGUGCCUGUGACUGGGUAUCUGAGCUUAGUAGAGGGUCAUAGUGAAUCACUUUGAUACCUUAUUUGUCCUGUCUUCUUCCUGUACCCAUUUGUGGAUCUCUAAUUUUUUCCACUCCCUAUGGUUUUACAGCAUCUUACAGAAUUUCUUCACUUGCUCUAUAAGGUCAUCAUGUCUUCCUGUUAAGUCUAAAGUUGCUGCCACGACAGUAGCUCCAACAUCUGCAGCAGAAAAAAUGGAGUUGACCAUGGGCUUACUUGGUAUGUUUGGUAGCAUUAUCAGUACUCAGUUGAAGCAGCUCCCUCUGUACACUUGUUACAGAUCUUACGACAAUACUAUAUAUAAAAGCAGCUUUAGAUUUAGUCUUGAAAAUAGACUUUUGGAAGAGGAUGAGCAUAAAGACGGCUCAAGGCCUAAUUUUCUUCUCCACUCGUGCUUUUAUUCAUAGGUCAAGUGCAGCUUGCUUGGGCUGUAAAUUUGGCAUGGCACAGUGCUGACAACUUCUUUUUCUAUGUAACCAUGCUCUCAUGUGUUGCUAUCACUAAAGUAGAUAGUGGUCUCUGUCUAUUGUGUUCAUAGUUUGCUGUGCUAAGUAAAAUCAUUUUUGAAAGAAUGGUACAAUUUUUUAAAAGGUACUUUUACCCUCAGGAACACUUUUCAGUCCUGUUUAUUCUUAAGUCUUUAUAAAAAAAAAAAAUAAAUAAAUCUACCUGCUUAUUUAAUAGCAGAGUCAGCUGCUCUCUGGUAAUUUAAUUUCUUUAGAGAGAAGUUAAAUUUCCUGUUUGUUUUUUUUUUUUUUUUCCUCUUUUUAAACUAGUAUAUACUUGUAAUUUUGUCUCCCUCUAAAUUCUCACAUGGCAAAUACUUUAAAAACAAGGCAGCCAGUGGUAAAAUGUAUGUGCUUUGAUGUGAGUUUGUGUAUUAAAUACUUUCCCAGAGAACAUACUGUACCUAUAUGGUUGCAUAAGCAACAAAUAAGAAAAAUAUUUUAGAGCUGAGCUGACAGCUGCUAACUGUUUUAUUUUUGUCUCUUUCUUGUUAAAACUAGACACUUAAAUAGUUUUGGAAGGUACUUGAGAGCUGUAGUAUGAUAAUGUUUUCUGCUGAUAUUUCCCCCACCAAGUCAAGUCCCAGCUCUUUGUGUUUCAGGACAACCAGGAUCUGCAAGCCUCUGCUGCUCCUUUUCCCCUGUGGGCUCCAGGCAUGGAAUGUGGAUCAACAGAAGCAUGUCUUUGGAGAACAUAAAAAUAUUUACUAACGUGGAAAAAUGGAGAUGAAGGAAGGAAGAAGGAUGUGUGCGAUGAACUUGUUUCAGUGUUGAUUACUUCGUUUUCGUGACCUAUUUAGCUAUGUGGCUGUGCUGGUGUGGAUGAAAUAUCCACUUCAUUUCAGUUUAGUAGAAAGUCUUAAAUAUCCUCCUGUUUGUGAAUAAAGCUGAGUUGGUGAGGGCUAUCCCUGUUUAAAAAUAGCUUUUAUAAGCGUGAGCAAAUGUUCUGCUGCCUUUGGCAAGUGUAGAUAAGUAUUUUAUUAUUUUUUUUUUAAUCUGUAAAAUGUUUUCUGCACUUUUAACAAUGCUCUUUAUAAAGACAGAAGGAGCCUAUGUUCUUACUUGAAAUUCAGUAUAUAUUACUAUGUUCUUUACACUUUAGCAAAUUAAAUUAUUUCUCAAAGAUC